rnacentral:rRNA from 1 species
GAUGAACGCUGGCGGCGUGCCUAAUACAUGCAAGUCGAGCGAACAGAUGAGGAGCUUGCUCCUCUGACGUUAGCGGCGGACGGGUGAGUAACACGUGGAUAACCUACCUAUAAGACUGGGAUAACUUCGGGAAACCGGAGCUAAUACCGGAUAAUAUAUUGAACCGCAUGGUUCAAUAGUGAAAGACGGUUUUGCUGUCACUUAUAGAUGGAUCCGCGCCGCAUUAGCUAGUUGGUAAGGUAACGGCUUACCAAGGCAACGAUGCGUAGCCGACCUGAGAGGGUGAUCGGCGACACUGGAACGGAGACACGGUCCAGACUCCUACGGGAGGCAGCAGUAGGGAAUCUGCCGCAAUGGGCGAAAGCCUGACGGAGCAACGACGCGUGAGUGAUGAAGGUCUUCGGAUCGUAAAACUCUGUUAUUAGGGAAGAACAAAUGUGUAAGUAACUAUGCACGUCUUGACGGUACCUAAUCAGAAAGCCAAGGCUAACUACGUG